GACGAACGCUGGCGGCGUGCUUAACACAUGCAAGUCGAACGGAAGGGCGCUGCUUUUGUGGGUUUCUCGUGUGGCGAACGGGUGAGUAACACGCGUGUAACCUGCCCCUGACUUUGUGAUAACUUCAGGAAAAUGGGGCUAUUACCGGAUAUGAGCUUCUGCUGCACGGUGGGGGUUGGAAAGAUUCGGCGUUUGGGGCUGGACUCGCUGCUUAUCAGCUUGUUUGUGGAGUAGUGGCUUACCAAGGCUUUGACGGGUAGCCGGCCUGGGAGGGGUACCGGGGACCUUGCGACUACGAGACGGACCAGAAGGGAACGGUACGCAACAGUGGGAAGUAUUGCAGAGUGGGCGGAAGUCAGAUGUGGAAGCGCCGGGUGCGGGAUGACGGCCUUCGAGUUAUAAACAGAUUUGGAAUGUGACGAAGACUGAGUGACGGUACUGGGUCAAGAAGCACCGGCUAACUACGUG
rnacentral:rRNA from 1 species